rnacentral:rRNA from 1 species
CAGUCGCCGCGGUAAAACGAAGGGUGCAAGCGUUAAUCGGAAUUACUGGGCGUAAAGCGUGCGUAGGCGGUUUGUUAAGUCUGCUGUGAAAUCCCCGGGCUCAACCUGGGAAUGGCAGUGGAUACUGGCAAGCUAGAGUGUGUCAGAGGAUGGUGGAAUUCCCGGUGUAGCGGUGAAAUGCGUAGAGAUCGGGAGGAACAUCAGUGGCGAAGGCGGCCAUCUGGGACAACACUGACGCUGAGGCACGAAAGCGUGGGGAGCAAACAGGAUUAGAUACCCCUGUAGUCCCUGUCUCUUAUAC